UACAGAGACUGCGAGCGUUAUUCGGAUUCACUGGGCGUAAAGGGUGCGCAGGCGGCCGUGUGUGUCAGGUGUGAAAUCUCGAGGCUUAACCUCGAAAUUGCGCCUGAAACUACACGGCUAGAGUACUGGAGAGGGAAACGGAAUUCACGGUGUAGCAGUGAAAUGCGUAGAUAUCGUGAGGAACACCAGAGGCGAAGGCGGUUUCCUGGACAGUUACUGACGCUCAGGCACGAAAGCGUGGGGAGCAAAA
rnacentral:rRNA from 1 species